rnacentral:rRNA from 1 species
GACGAACGCGGCGGCGUGCCUAGUACAUGCAAGUCGAACGCACGAAGUUGAAGAGCUUGCUCUUUAACCAAGUGAGUGGCGGACGGGUGAGUAACACGUGGGUAACCUGCCCAUUAGAGGGGGGAUAACAUUCGGAAACGGAUGCUAAUACCGCAUAGUUUCAGGAAUCGCAUGAUUCUUGAAGGAAAGGUGGCUUCGGCUACCACUAAUGGAUGGACCCGCGGCGUAUUAGCUAGUUGGUGAGGUAAUGGCUCACCAAGGCAAUGAUACGUAGCCGACCUGAGAGGGUGAUCGGCCACACUGGGACUGAGACACGGCCCAGACUCCUACGGGAGGCAGCAGUAGGGAAUCUUCCGCAAUGGACGAAAGUCUGACGGAGCAACGCCGCGUGAGUGAAGAAGGUUUUCGGAUCGUAAAACUCUGUUGUUAAAGAAGAACAAGGAUGAGAGUAACUGCUCAUCCCCUGACGGUAUUUAACCAGAAAGCCACGGCUAACUACGUGCCAGCAGCCGCGGUAAUACGUAGGUGGCAAGCGUUGUCCGGAUUUAUUGGGCGUAAAGCGAGCGCAGGCGGUUCUUUAAGUCUGAUGUGAAAGCCCCCGGCUCAACCGGGGAGGGUCAUUGGAAACUGGAGAACUUGAGUGCAGAAGAGGAGAGUGGAAUUCCACGUGUAGCGGUGAAAUGCGUAGAUAUGUGGAGGAACACCAGUGGCGAAGGCGACUCUCUGGUCUGUAACUGACGCUGAGGCUCGAAAGCGUGGGGAGCAAACAGG